rnacentral:rRNA from 1 species
UACGAAGGGGGCGAGCGUUGUUCGGAAUUACUGGGCGUAAAGCGUGCGCAGGCGGUUCGUUGUGUCGGCGGUGAAAGCCCCGGGCUCAACCUGGGAAUGGCCGUUGAAACUGGCGAACUGGAGUGUGGCAGAGGGGGGUGGAAUUCCGCGUGUAGCAGUGAAAUGCGUAGAGAUGCGGAGGAACACCGAUGGCGAAGACAGCCCCCUGGGCUGACACUGACGCUCAGGCACGAAAGCGUGGGGAGCAAACAGG